rnacentral:rRNA from 1 species
UAUGGCGACCGGCGCACGGGUGAGUAACACGUAUCCAACCUGCCGAUGACUCGGGGAUAGCCUUUCGAAAGAAAGAUUAAUACCCGAUGGCAUAGUUCUUCCGCAUGGUGGAACUAUUAAAGAAUUUCGGUCAUCGAUGGGGAUGCGUUCCAUUAGGUUGUUGGCGGGGUAACGGCCCACCAAGCCUUCGAUGGAUAGGGGUUCUGAGAGGAAGGUCCCCCACAUUGGAACUGAGACACGGUCCAGACUCCUACGGGAGGCAGCAUG